rnacentral:lncRNA from 1 species
AUUGAUUCUGUUAUUUGGUACUGAGCACUCAAGUUAGGAGUGGUAAAAAAACACUGCAGUCUCUCAUACAUUUUUUUUUGUUUUUUUAAACUUUUUUUUUAAAAACUUACAUUUUCGAGCAGACAAACUGCCGCAGGGUUUCCACAAAACGGCCGGUUUGUAAAAGCAUCAACCGUAAAAAUAGGAAUCUGCAUUGCUGCUUGCGCCUAUUUAGCUUUACGCUGAUUACCUCAGGGUGCUUUCUAACCCGUUCUACCCCGUGAAGGGAGCCCAACUCUGAAGUUAAUGUUUCCCUAUCGACAGGAGGAGCCAGCGGGGUGCUGCUCGUCACUUCCGAGCACAUAGAGGGCGCCCAACGGCGGCUUGGAUUCAUGACGGCAGAUUUUAACCUCUGUGUGGCGUCCUGCCUCCCUAACCCACGGCGGGAGGGACACACGCCCGACAACCCGACCGGCCACGGCCGCCUGAGAGAGGCGAUACCCGCGCCGAGGCGACGGCAGCGCUGAGGCGAUGCCCGCGUGAGGCGAUGCCCGCGUGAGGCGAUGCCCGCGCGACCGUUAGGGGCGCACGCGCCCCUCUCUGAGAGACUUGGCGCCAAGCCGCCGCCGAGCCCGCCCGGCGCAGCGCGCAUGCGCCCCGGCGCCCCUCAGCCACCCUCGGGAGAGGAGCGAGCGGGCGCUCCCCUCCCGUCCCCGCCGCGCCGCGCAUGCGCAGUUGCCGCUGCUCGCCGCCGGCCGCGCAUGCCCGUGUGCCGCCCGGGCGGGGCUGAGGGGAGCGCGGCGCCGCUGUCGCGAUAGUUGCGCGCUCGGGGCCGCCAUCGCGCCUCGGCUGCUCGCGUCGCUUCGGAGCCCGGCGGCCGGUCGGGAGCGCGGAGGAGCUUCCUGCGCGGCGGGACGGAGCUGCCGCUGCCGGGGGCGCGCCUGAGGGCUGUGCGAGCGGCUGCCGGUGAGCGGCGGGGCGGCGGGAGGGCAGCGCUCGCCUCAGCGGAGCCCGCCGGGACCGCCCGGGGAGGAGGCGGCGGCGGCAGCGCCCCCG